AGAUUAGCUAGUUGGUGGGGUAAAGGCCUACCAAGGCGACGAUCUGUAGCGGGUCUGAGAGGAUGAUCCGCCACACUGGGACUGAGACACGGCCCAGACUCCUACGGGAGGCAGCAGUGGGGAAUAUUGGACAAUGGGCGCAAGCCUGAUCCAGCCAUGCCGCGUGUGUGAAGAAGGCCUUUUGGUUGUAAAGCACUUUAAGCGAGGAGGAGGCUACUUGGAUUAAUACUCUAGGAUAGUGGACGUUACUCGCAGAAUAAGCACCGGCUAACUCUGUGCCAGCAGCCGCGGUAAUACAGAGGGUGCGAGCGUUAAUCGGAUUUACUGGGCGUAAAGCGUGCGUAGGCGGCUUNUUAAGUCGGAUGUGAAAUCCCUGAGCUUAACUUAGGAAUUGCAUUCGAUACUGGGAAGCUAGAGUAUGGGAGAGGAUGGUAGAAUUCCAGGUGUAGCGGUGAAAUGCGUAGAGAUCUGGAGGAAUACCGAUGGCGAAGGCAGCCAUCUGGCCUAAUACUGACGCUGAGGUACGAAAGCAUGGGGAGCAAACAGGAUUAGAUACCCUGGUAGUCCAUGCCGUAAACGAUGUCUACUAGCCGUUGGGGCCUUUGAGGCUUUAGUGGCGCA
rnacentral:rRNA from 1 species